UGACCUACGGGAGGCAGCAGUGAGGGAUAUUGGUCAAUGGGGGAAACCCUGAACCAGCAACGCCGCGUGAGGGAAGACGGUUUUCGGAUUGUAAACCUCUGUCCUCUGUGAAGAUAAUGACGGUAGCAGAGGAGGAAGCUCCGGCUAACUACGUGCCAGCAGCCGCGGUAAUACGUAGGGAGCGAGCGUUGUCCGGAAUUACUGGGUGUAAAGGGAGCGUAGGCGGGACUGCAAGUUGGGUGUCAAAUCUACCGGCUCAACCGGUAGCCGCACUCAAAACUGCAGUUCUUGAGUGAAGUAGAGGC
rnacentral:rRNA from 1 species